GUCAGUGUAGUGUAAUGGUUUGAGCAUUGGACUAUAGUUCUGGAGAUCAGGGUUCAAUUCCCCACUUGGCCA